CCUACGGGUGGCAGCAGUGGGGAAUAUUGGACAAUGGGGGCAACCCUGAUCCAGCCAUGCCGCGUGUGUGAAGAAGGCCCUCGGGUUGUAAAGCACUUUCAGUGAGGAAGAACGCCUGGUGGUUAAUACCCAUCAGGAAAGACAUCACUCACAGAAGAAGCACUGGCUAACUCCGUGCCAGCAGCCGCGGUAAUACGGAGGGUGCGAGCGUUAAUCGGAAUUACUGGGCGUAAAGCGCGCGUAGGUGGCUUGAUAAGCCGGUUGUGAAAGCCCCGGGCUCAACCUGGGAACGGCAUCCGGAACUGUCAAGCUAGAGUGCAGGAGAGGAAGGUAGAAUUCCCGGUGUAGCGGUGAAAUGCGUAGAGAUCGGGAGGAAUACCAGUGGCGAAGGCGGCCUUCUGGACUGACACUGACACUGAGGUGCGAAAGCGUGGGUAGCAAACAGGAUUAGAUACCCUAGUAGUC
rnacentral:rRNA from 1 species